UACGGAGGGUGCGAGCGUUGUCCGGAAUCACUGGGCGUAAAGGGCGCGUAGGCGGCCUGGCAAGUCGAUGGUGAAAGCCCGAGGCUCAACUUCGGGUCGGCCACUGAUACUGCUGGGCUUGAGUCGACUAGAGGCAGAUGGAAUUCCGGGUGUAGCGGUGGAAUGCGUAGAGAUCCGGAAGAACACCGGUGGCGAAGGCGGUCUGC
rnacentral:rRNA from 1 species